CUCGCGACAGUAAAAACAGUUGGAACGGUCUGCCAUUGUUCUCCAAUAAACCCGGGAAUAGCUGUGAGAAAUAAUAACAGCGAUUACCUCAUCGUGAUCAUAAAAUUAGGUCAUAAAAAUGCAUCAUGAUGUAUAAAUGUAGGGGAAAAAAAUGCAUCUUUUGAAAAAAAGAAAAAGUUUAACACGUCCCACACCCCUCAUGUAACUAACAGUGUUCAGAGUUUCCCCAGGAAGCGGUGUAAGGUCUUAUCUUGAUCUGAUAGCGCGUUCAGUUCAGCUGUAAAGCAGGUUAGCAGACUGGCAGGAAGGGAUGGAAGUAAGACAGAUCCUUCGUUCAGGAGAUGGCAGACUGUUGAGACUGGAAUCUGGUUUCAGGAUGACCUCAUGCACCAGCAUCUGGAACACAGUCGAGCGAGCGUAGCAGCCAAAGCAAACGAGGGGAAGCAUUGGAACAGUCACGCUGCUCGCGACCCAUUGGUUGAUGCGAUAUGAGGAAACUUGAGAGCCUGCCCACAAUAGGGUGUGGUGCAUAUGAUGAAGGCGGCCAAAUUAGAAGUUGGGCAAUGACAUCACCUGCUGGUUAGCUCAAAACAUCACUUUUACAGUAAUUACUGCAUUCGAAAACCACACACAUGAAUGCACUUGUG